rnacentral:rRNA from 1 species
UACGUAGGGUGCGAGCGUUGUCCGGAAUUACUGGGCGUAAAGAGCUCGUAGGCGGUUUGUCGCGUCUGCUGUGAAAACGCGGGGCUCAACUCCGCGCCUGCAGUGGGUACGGGCAGACUAGAGUGCAGUAGGGGAGACUGGAAUUCCUGGUGUAGCGGUGGAAUGCGCAGAUAUCAGGAGGAACACCGGUGGCGAAGGCGGGUCUCUGGGCCGUAACUGACGCUGGAGGAGCGAAAGCGUGGGGGAGCGAACAGG